rnacentral:rRNA from 1 species
GACGAACGCUGGCGGCGCGCCUAACACAUGCAAGUCGAACGGAGUUUCCCCUUCGGGGGGAGCUUAGUGGCGGACGGGUGAGUAACACGUGAGGAACCUGCCUUUGAGAGCGGGAUACCGUCUGGAAACGGACGUUAAUACCGCAUAAUGCAGCGAGGCCACAUGGCCAUGCUGCCAAAAGAUUUAUCGCUCAAAGAUGGCCUCGCGCCUGAUUAGAUAGUUGGCGGGUAACGGCCACCAAGUCUGCGAUCAGUAGCCGGACUGAGAGGUCGAACGGCCACAUUGGGACUGAGAUACGGCCCAGACUCCUACGGGAGGCAGCAGUGGGGGAUAUUGCACAAUGGGCGAAAGCCUGAUGCAGCGACGCCGCGUGAGGGAAGACGGUUUUCGGAUUGUAAACCUCUGUCUUCGGGGACGAAACAAGACGGUACCCGAGGAGGAAGCCACGGCUAACUACGUG